CCUAGACCCGGGUGUUACUGUAGUGAUCUUCAGCAUACACAGGAAGAAGGGCUUUGUCUGAAUCCCUGGACUUGAAUACAGCCCCCCAGGUUUUAAGGGCUUGGGGUGAUCCUUGGACCAAAUUGUAUAGUUUGGUCCAACCUCUCUAUGUUUACAGCUGAGAAACAUUUUUUUUUUGAAUAUCUGAUAAAUGUCACAGCUCUCUAGAUGAUGUGAAAACAGCUCAACACUCAGAUUUGCAAAAGAAGGAAGGAUAAAAGCAGUAAGCAGUGCGAG